CCUCUUCCUCUCUUUUUCAUUGUUCCUCGUCCUCUCUCUCGAUCUCUCAGAAGAAACAGGGUCGAAGAGAAACUCAUCUCUCUUCUUCGCUGUUCUUCGUUUUUUCUCUUCCCAACUUCUUCUUUUUCGCUGUUAUUUGUUUUUUUUCUUCUCAAAAGCAUGAACUGAGAAAUUGUUCAUAUCAAUUGAGAAGUAAUAUGGAGAAGUAAAUGGAUCAGGAAGGUGUUCCUGAGGUUGUGAAUUUGGUUUUGGUUAGGGUUAUUAUUGAUUGAAGAAUGACGAAUCAGUAAGAAAUAAAGUUAGGGUUUCUGCAGUUAGUAUUGAGUUUGUGCAAAAUCGAAGGAGGAAUUGGUGGAUUGAAUAGCAGGAGGAGAUGGUGGAGUUGUAUUAACUCGGGUUAUAGAGGAUAGGGUAAAUCAGAGAGAGAAAGUUAUGGUUUGGAAAUUGAUUUAAGGUUCAAUUUAGCGAUAGAUGAGAAGAAAUCAAAGACUGGGUUUGGUGGUUUGAGAAGUUAAUCGAUGUUUCGAACAGAUGGUUCUGAGUAUAGAUGAUGGUGAUUGAAGAUGAAACCGAUGGUUAGGGUUUAGAAUUUGAUUUAAGGUUGCAUGACUUCUUUAUACAAAUUCUGGUGGUGGUGUAUUCGCACUUGGGUCCAAUGAGAUUCAAAGAUUAUGGAAAUGGGGCAAAAGUGAACAGAACCCAAUUGUCAUGGAUUGCUCUCUUGCUCGCUGUGCACUUAUAACUUGCCUUUCACCACCGACUUAUGAAGAAAUACUGGGCCGGUAGGAUGGAGAUUGAGACGACGACAUUUUGAGGCUGUAACAUCCUUUAUUAAAUGUUGCAGGAAGUUCUUCCCUUCAGGUUCUGCCGCUGAGAUAUGGUCUGAAUUCAGGGACUUCACACAAGGUCAGUUGAAGCAGUAGUAGCCAGACGGGGAAAUAUCAAUCCUUGGUAAGUACUUCACUUGGUUAUACUUGUACUAUCAAGUUUAAAUUUGUGGAUUUGACACUCAGUUUAUACUUGCGAGGUAUUUGCGCUGGUGGGAAGUGAACUGCAGUGGGGUUGGCAUCAACUUGUGUACCUUCUAGAUUACCAGGACCAAAGAUAGUGCCAACUUAUGAACUUUUCCAGCUGAAAGUACAUUUACUGAGGAGGAGGAUGUUUCCAUCGAUUUCAAAAGCAGUUGGAGUGGAUACUGGUGUUUUGGAGCUUAAAGAAAUAGGAAGACAAUCGGAAAUGCUGUUCUCAAUCCUGAACCCAUGAUAUCAGGGAAGAUAUUGAGGAAGGAGUUCAUCAAGCUUGCACUGUCCAUUAGGAUCGCCUACAUCGAGUUUUCUGAUGCCCAAGCUUUCAACAAAGCAAGCCUGCAAAGCAUAUAGAGCUUAGUUGCGGUUAUUUGAAUGAUGCUCUAUUUCAUCAGAAGGGUGGAGAACAAAGCAGCUAAGAUUUGUAAGUUCCAUGUAUUCAAGUUUCUAUGUAUUCCCUCAGAAAUUUGGAACCUUCCAUGUAUUCCCUUAGAAAUUUGAUACUCAACAAAAAAAAAAAAAAAAAAAAAAA